UCUUGGCGUCAGUCUUUUAAAACCGCUCGCGCACUCUGGUACCGUUGGUUUAGUUAAAACACACGGCACUGCUCCACUUAUCCGAGCACUGCAGCCGACACUUUCUAUUUGUUUAACUGUUCUAAGGGGGAAAAAAAAGCGAUAUUAAAGUUUUCGAAUACGGAUUGCAGAGCUUGAGCCCCAGCUGAAUUAUAGAUAAACGUAAAUAGAAGGAUCCUGUUUUCCCGCUGUCAUCCCAGUGGACCAGCUCGAGUCCUCCCCUGGGUCCCAGAGCCUCACUUGGGCGCAGGCAGUUGUGCGGGUAACCCCUGGAGAUGGGUUGCCUGGAGUCGCGUCCUGUCCCUGAAAGCUCAAGUGCUGGUGCACACCUCCAGGCAACAAUUCCCAGCCUUGUAAGCAGAUAACUGGGGCUGCAGGACUCGUUCCAACAGGUGAUUGUGCACAGAAGUAAUGGACACACAUCUUGGCCUGCCUUCCUGUUUCUUGGUCUGCACAGCUGGAAUUGGUAGUGGAACCAGAAGAAGGUUUCAGAACCUUUUUCAGCACCACUUGGA